CACGUAGGGGGCGAGCGUUGUCCGGAAUUACUGGGCGUAAAGGGCGCGUAGGUGGUUCAGCAAGUCAAAUGUGAAAGUCCGGGGCUCAACCCCGGGAAGCCAGCCAAAACUGCGGUGACUAGGGUCCGGUAGAGGUGAGUGGAAUUCUCGGUGUAGCGGUGAAAUGCGCAGAUAUCGAGAGGAACACCAGUAGCGAAGGCGGCUCACUGGGCCGGUACCGACACUGAGGAGCGAAAGCGUGGGGAGCAAACAGG
rnacentral:misc_RNA from 1 species